rnacentral:lncRNA from 1 species
AAUUAGUUUAUCCUACCCAAUUUCAAACCCUAAAUUAUUUCUACCUCUCUCUCUCUCUCUCUCUAUCCAUUCUCACCUCUCACUCUCUGUCUUUUUCUCCGCCACCAACCGAUUUGAGAUCGUCGAAGUGAAACCACACUAAGUCGUCGGAGUGAAGUGGUGUCAAUGUCUACGACCCAUCACCCCUCUCUAAUCAAAUGCAUAGCUCUCCUCCCUCUCCUGUAUCUAUAUCUACCUGCUCUGAUUGUAUCUGUCGAUUGUUGGAAAUCCAAUUCUCACACCCUCUCUCUCCACCGCCAACUGAUCUGAGAGUUUCGGAGUGAAACCACUCGAAGCGGUGGAAGUUAAGGGAUGUCGCUGUCGCGAUCCCGUCACCCCUCUCUAAUCCAACGACGUCGCUUUCCUUCCUCUCAUCUCCUCUUCUCUAUUGUAUCUAUUUUUGGAUUUGAUUUGUUGGUUUUUUAGGAGGCAACUUUCUUGGAUCUUGUUUCUAUUUCGAAUACUAAUUUGUUGGUUUUUUAGGAGGCAACUUUCUUGGAUCUUGUUUCUAUUUCGAAUCUAAUUUGUUGGUUUUUUGUGCGGCGAUUUUCUUGUAUUUUGUUGGUGGCAAUAGUGGUGGUGGUUUGUUGGUGGCUGUGGUGGUGGUGGUGAUUUUGUUGGUGUGUUGGGUAUCGAAUGUUGUGCCUAUGAUCUUGAAACUUGUUG